CGCCGCCAACCCGGAAGAAGAAGUGGCAGCCCGGCGUCUCCUUCUGGCGCGCCCUUGUGGAUUCGCUCCCGGGCAGGUGUAUUUUAUAUGAGAAGUAAGGCGAAGGUAUGCACUUGUGAGAGCUGGUUCGACAGUCUCUGUAAGGCUGUUGCCUUCAUCCAGUGCUGAAGUGUGAAGUCCGCAGAGCAGGCAGUCAGGAAGGGAAGAUGGAUGUAAACGGGGAGAGUGAGGACAAGCUGGAACCUGGGAGGACAGACUGGAAUCCAUGUCAGUCUCUCACACCUCCGACUCUGACAAUGGAGGGUCCGCCAGGAAAAGCAAGUGUCCUUUGUCACAGAAGGAAACACACACCUGGAACUGGGAGCUGAAGGAACCCCACACCAAGGAGGGGAGCCAGCAGGUAUCCACUCUGGUCGUUGUCUAUGAACCGAAAAACAUCCUUCACCUGACUGGCCGACAUCUUGGAGAGGCCUGAUGUCUGGAAG